UACAGAGGGUGCGAGCGUUAAUCGGAAUUACUGGGCGUAAAGCGUGCGUAGACGGUAGCGUAAGUCAGAUGUGAAAGCCCCGGGCUCAACCUGGGAAUUGCAUUUGAGACUGCUCUGCUCGGGUGCGGAAGAGGGAAGCGGAAUUUCCGGUGUAGCGGUGAAAUGCGUAGAUAUCGGAAGGAACACCAGUGGCGAAAGCGGCUUCCUGGUC
rnacentral:rRNA from 1 species